AACGAACGCUGGCGGCAUGCCUAACACAUGCAAGUCGAACGAGACCUUCGGGUCUAGUGGCGCACGGGUGCGUAACGCGUGGGAACCUGCCCUUAGGUUCGGAAUAACUCCCCGAAAGGGGUGCUAAUACCGGAUAAUGUCUUCGGACCAAAGAUUUAUCGCCUUUGGAUGGGCCCGCGUUGGAUUAGCUAGUUGGUAGGGUAAAAGCCUACCAAGGCGACGAUCCAUAGCUGGUCUGAGAGGAUGAUCAGCCACACUGGGACUGAGACACGGCCCAGACUCCUACGGGAGGCAGCAGUGGGGAAUAUUGGACAAUGGGCGAAAGCCUGAUCCAGCAAUGCCGCGUGAGUGAUGAAGGCCGUAGGGUUGUAAAGCUCUUUUACCCGGGAUGAUAAUGACAGUACCGGGAGAAUAAGCACCGGCUAACUCCGUG
rnacentral:rRNA from 1 species